GAGAGUAUUUGGAUGCACCUGUCUUGUGUGUCUCAGGAGCACAUGCCUGUGGAGUUGUGUGCACAGAGGGAACAGGCAGUGUCGCAUCUGUAGGCUGAGUGUGAGGAGCUGUGCAUGCAGAGUCGCAGAGUUCAGAAGCAGCUGCAGGAAGAACUGGCCAAGCUGCAGCAGCACUGUACAGAGUCCCUGCCGCAGGCCGAGAGCCAUAAACAGUAGGUGUGUGUCUAUUUGUGUCUCAGAGGAACAAUGUCAAAACCUUUUGACAACUUCCUUUCAAUCUGAUCAAAAGGCGUGUCUCUUGACCCAUAUAGCCUUAAACCAUCUGCAUUCAGAACAUGGGACAGAUGGCAUCACUAUAAGAUGGUUAUACUGCAUUAACUCUGAGUCAACUGUGCUUGAUUGGCAGGUUCUAUCUGAGAAGGAGGCAGAGAAGGAUACUCUUACUGAGCGCAUAAUCACCCUCGAGCAUGACAUAGAGACAGCUGCCCUUGAAAAGGAUCGAAUGCGUAGAGACUUCUUGAGCAAACAGGAGCAGGAUAAGGACACAGUUUUAGGGUUGCAAGCAGAGUUUCAGGACAGAGGCAGGAGGCUCAGCAUGAGGUGAAGUGUUUGAGGAGGGAACUGAUUGAGGUGGAGGAGAGCAGGG
ensembl:lncRNA